CCACACUCAAAUCCUUAAAUAAGCAAAUCAAAUCAUCAUAAUAUGCACUUUACAAUAAGUCCUACAGUUAACGUUUUCACCAGAGUUGAAUCCACCGGCACACCAACAGGUCCUGUUGUCGGAGCCAGUAACACUUAUCUUCAAGGAGUGUCAGAGUCAAGAAGAAAUGCUAGGAGCAUAUCUAUUCAUGCAAAUACCCACAGGAAUUGGCCGGUUGGUGUAACUUGUGAAGACUUAUAUUGAUACCAUGAAGCAAAGACUGCACUCAGCACUUUAUCCAGCUAAACACUUUAAUUGGUGGCGGGACUUGUUACUGGUUACAGUGCCUACUGUGAACACGGCUUGUUCUUGGAUUUUUCUAUGAUUUUAGUACUGCCCCAGGAGAAUUACCCAUAUUGCAAGUUUGUAUGCCGAGGUACUUGUAGAGACUCGGCACACACUACUCCACGAAGAUAAGCUUCACUGGCUCCAAUGAUAGGACCUUGUCCCAGAAUCCCAUCCCAACAUGGACAUAGAGGACAAAAAAGGGACUAUUGUCACUAUGGGAAGGGGUUAUUAAGACCCCCGAGAUGCUUAU